GAGUGCUGGCUGUUGGGGCUGCUCACUGAGGGCCCCACUGGGGCCCCGAGGAAUUCCUUCUCCAGAGAUGAGUCCCCGCUACCUUGGAGGAGAGAACAAGAGGGGAGGUGAAGUUGCAGCGCGAGCCAUUUACUGUCCAUUGCCUAAUCUCUUCAAAGUUCAAUGAGGAGACUGAAGCACAAAGAAGGCUAUGUUACUUGUCUAAGGUCAAGUAGUGGUGGAACCCCAAUCUGAUCACAAACAGAGGGAAUGACCUGCACCUUUAGAAAGAGAUAGGGGAAGAAAAGGUGGAUUUUCUGAAACAGGUUCUGUGCGGUGGGAAAACUUCUUCGAAGAACAGGAGAGAUACCCCCUUCAUCAACUGGCCAGGCAAAUGAAGGCCCCCAGGUGUGGAGGCGGAAGAGCUGUGAUGACCGUGAGGGGGCCGCCGCAUACUUUAGGAGGGGUGUGCACUGCAGCCUUUCCCACUGCUUCCACAUCAGUCCGGGAGAGAAGGGUCAGCGACGGGCACUCAGGCACCCCUCCCGUGAACUGUCUCAGCCACGCCCAGUCCUGCAGGGGCUGCUUUUCAGUGCUGAUGUUAACCCUGCCUUGAUUUUCCCCUGUCCCUCUCUAAGGUACAACAGCUGCUGACGUCUAGAAUUCUCAAAACACAGAUGAGGGGUUUCUGGCCUCCACUUUCAUUCAAAAACCAUCCUGUGCAGAGGACUCUUCUUAU